rnacentral:rRNA from 1 species
AGUGGGAACGAUUUAGCCAUGCUAGUCGCACGAGUUCAGACUCGUGGCGAAUAGCUCAGUAACACGUGGCCAAACUACCCUUCGGAACACAAUACCCUCGGGAAACUGAGGCUAAUAGUGUAUACCAUACCACCACUGGAAUGAGUGGUAUGCCAAACGCUCCGGCGCCGAAGGAUGUGGCUGCGGCCGAUUAGGUAGACGGUGGGGUAACGGCCCACCGUGCCAAUAAUCGGUACGGGUCAUGAGAGUGAGAACCCGGAGACGGAAUCUGAGACAAGAUUCCGGGCCCUACGGGGCGCAGCAGGCGCGAAACCUUUACACUGCACGACAGUGCGAUAGGGGGAUCCCAAGUGCACAGGCAUAGCGCCUGUGCUUUUCGGCACCCUAAGGCGGUGCCAGAAUAAGGGCUGGGCAAGACCGGUGCCAGCCGCCGCGGUAAUACCGGCAGCCCAAGUGAUGGCCGAUCUUAUUGGGCCUAAAGCGUCCGUAGCUGGCCGCGCAAGUCCAUCGGGAAAUCCACCUGCUCAACAGGUGGGCGCCCGGUAGAAACUGCGUGGCUUGGGACCGGAAGGCGCGACGGGUACGUCCGGGGUAGGAGUGAAAUCCCGUAAUCCUGGACGGACCGCCGAUGGCGAAAGCACGUCGCGAGAACGGAUCCGACAGUGAGGGACGAAAGCCAGGGUCUCGAACCGGAUUAGAU